rnacentral:rRNA from 1 species
UACGGGGGAUGCAAGCGUUAUUCGGAAUUAUUGGGCGUAAAGGGCGCGUAGGCGGUUUUGUCGGUCAGAUGUGAAAGCCCGGGGCUCAACCCCGGACGUGCAUUUGAAACAGCAAGACUUGAGUACGGGAGAGGAAAGCGGAAUUCCUGGUGUAGAGGUGAAAUUCGUAGAUAUCAGGAGGAACACCGAUGGCGAAGGCAGCUUUCUGGACCGAUACUGACGCUGAGGCGCGAAGGCGUGGGUAGCGAACAGG